CUCCUCAGUAGCUCUGGGCAAGCCCCGCCCCCGCGCGGCGGUUUCCGGUCCUGGGGCGCUCAGGCCGGAAGUUUCGCGUUGCCAUGGCAAGGGCCGGGCGCGGGCCCGCCCCCGUGGCGCCGGGAGGAGCGCGGGGCAGACGGACCCGCGGACCGGCUCCGAUCGGCUGCGAAGUGGCUGCUGGCGCGAGGCGGAAGGGAUUCUAGUGACCUCCUUGUGGGGAUCCUGGGCUCCAGCCCACCGAUGGGUGUCCGGGCUGGAAUAGCCAUCGCUGUGCGGCGAGCGCCGGCCUCCGCGGCUUCGGAGGCGCACGGGCCUGGGCGGGAAGGUCCACGCCGGCGGAGCCCCUCCCUGUCCUGCAGUGGAGGCUGAGGCUACUGUGGGGUUAGUUUCCGUGGGUGCGGAGGCGUUCCAGGUGUCGGGGAGCGGGAGCCAGGGCCGAGCUCUGGCUAGCCCUUCCCAGAACUCUGGGCCUUCCUUUCUCUACCCCGUCCUUAGCUUGGGGGUGGAGUGGGGGCCCGCACUGCUCUUCUCAGCCCCUCUGCUCCCCGGGAUGCUCCCUAGCGAUGCUGGGGGCUCUCCCUGGGAGAGCUGUGAAGGAAGGACUUCUGUGUCCCUGGCUGGCCUCCUGGCUUACUUCAGGGGCAGCCAGAGUCGCCUUAUGGGCGGAUGGCUCCCUGACGGAUCCUCGACCGUGCUGGCCCCGCGAUCCUUGCCAGGGGGGCGUGUGGCGCUCUGAGCACCCAGCUCCCUGCCUGCCUCCGCUGUGCCGGUGACUUUUGCUUAGAGCUGGGAUGGAGCAGCAUCAGCAGGCCUAUCUUUCCUUCCUUGUGGGCUCUCCGCGGACCUGCCCUGGCUUCAUUCCUCACCUGCCUGGAUUCUGCUCUCCCAGAAGGUUCCUGGGCUGGCAGGCACCCAGCAAGAGGCCCUGGUACCUGUGGGCUCCACGUUGGUAUCUGUGUUCUAGGGAUUUCUGAAUCUCACUGCGUUCAGCUUUGGAACUUCAGUCUCAGAUGAGCCUGUGGUGACCCAGCACAGCACCUGCACCCCAAGAGUUCCCCACUCCAGUGCCUCUGUCCCGGUCCACCUGUUAGCCAAAGCAAGAUGUCUGGGUGGUAGUGUCUUCUCUCAGACUUGCUCCUCAGUUGCCUAGAUCCUGGCUGUGCUGUCCAUCUCUCGUACCAGCAGCCUGCACCUCCUUCUGGGAUGGGAGCCUUUGCUCCUGGCCACUCUUCUGGGCUCCGACUCAGCACUUUGACUCCACCCUUCUCACCAUAGGCAGAGUGAUGGGUCCGAAAUGCAGAUCUGAUCCUUGUCCCUCCUGAACAUCCUUCCUCAGAGACUGCAGGACGACAUGCCUGUCUUUGCACACUGGCCCCCCCUCCUCUGUCCCCGCCCCACUCCUGAGCACCUUGCCAUGUGUGUCGGGCCUCCACCCUCCUGAACCCCUCCAGUAGUGGUGGAGGAGGCAAAGAGGGGAGAGAGUGAGCCUCUGCCUCCCUUUCCAAGCUCUGUGUCUGCCAGCACAUCAGACUGAGAAAAAAGGACAGAGGGACAGUCAAGUCUAAUUCCACAGACGCCUGGGAUGGCGGGCUGGGGAGGAGGAGGCUCUCGGCUGCUGGGCCCUGUGCUGGCUGUGUGGUGAGGCCCGAUGGCAGACAGCGAGUCUGGGCUGCGUGCUUCCUGGGCGGCUGUGACAGACACAGAUUGCCGGGACUGCCUGAGACCUUGGUCAUUCUUUGAUCUGAUCACUGCUCUUGGGUGGGUUUUGUGUGGGGUGCUUUGUAAGACUCACCCCCACCCACCCCCAGAACCUCCUCCUGUUUUGGAAGGACAAGCAGGUGAGCCCUGGGAGCCUCCAGGACUCAGGUGAAGCUCCUGCAGACCCUUCUUACCGUCUGGGAGGUCUGGAUGGCCCUUCUGCACUGGCAGGGCACGUGGCCAGCCUCGCCGUGGCCACAGGCUUCCUGCGUUUGCUCCGGGUUGCACUCAGGGCGCGUGGGCACUAUAUGUGUCACCAUCGCAGGCUCUGCAUCCCAGUGCCAAGCCCAGCCCUGGCACAGCUGCACUCACAGCUGAGUGACAGUUCAUCCACCCAGCGGCUCAGUCCUGGGCUGGGCUUCACCUGCGUCUGCUUCCACGCCGUCCCUCAGUGUCGGGAACCCAUCAGCUCCUGCGGUCAUGGGUACUUCCUGCAGGUCAGGCCCGGGGCUCAGGGAAGAAAACAGUGACUAGUGCAACGAUGGAAGCGGGGUGAAGACGCAGCAGAGUGAUGGGUUGACUUCAGGGGACCUGAGGAGGCAACGUUUAAGCUGGGAUCUGAGCUGCAGGAAGGAAGGAGCUAUGCUGAGAUCUUGUGAAGAACUUUCCAGACAGAAGGCAUAGCUGACAGAAAGGGGCACGACGAUGAGGUGGCAGAUCGGGGUCAGCAGAGCUUUUCUGUGAAGGGCCAGAGAGUCAGUGUUUCAGGCUUUGCAGCCCACGUGAUCCCUGUGGCAGCUAUUAUGCCGUUUUGUGGAAGGGCAGCCACAGACAAUAUGCGAGUGAAUGUGCUCUGUUUCCACAAAACUUUACUGACAGACCCUGAAACUUGAAUUUCACGUAAUACUCAUGUGUCACCAAAUAUUCUUUUUCUUUUAAUGUCUUUGCCAAUCAUUAAGGUCAAAACCAUUUUCAGCUCAUGGGCCAUACCAAAACAGACAGUGGGUCAGUUUGCCAGCCCCUGUGCCAGACACCAAAGAGUGCUGUGUCUUAGUUCAUUGAAUCCUCAUAAGAACCUUAUAAAGAAGGUACUAUUAUUCCAUUUACAGAUGAGAAAACUGAUUUCCUCAGAGGUCAAUAAACUUGACCAGUGCCCUCAGCUCCUGGCACUUUAAACCCGGAGUGUGGUUCCCGAGCUCAGCUUCCAGCCUCUGUGAAUUUCACAUAAGUGGAUGGAUACAGGAUGAACACUUUUGUGUCUUACUUCCUUUCGCCAGACAGAACGUUUUGGAAAUUCAGAUUGCUGCAUGUCUCCAUAGUUCAUUGUUUUUCUUGCUGGGGGGUUUGGUAUUCCAUUGUAUAGGUACACUGUUUACUCCAUACACACACCUGUUGAUGGACAUUUCGGUUCCUUCCAGUUUUUGCCUAUUGUGAAUAAAACUGCUGUGAAUAUUCAUGUUUACCAGUCUUUGCAUGGACAUACAUUUCAUUUCUCUUGGGUUGAGAUGACAGAAAUGAUGGUUGAAGUGCGUACUUGUAUUUCACUCUAUACAAAAAAUGCCAAAACUGUUUUCUAAAAUGGGAAGUCAUAUCACAUUCCCAAUUGUUCUGUGUCUUUUAGUCAUUCUUCGGAAGUUUAGCCCUUCAUGUGAGUGUUGAUGGCUUGUUGUGCCUUGAGUUGGCAUUUCCUAAUGAUGAAUGGUGUUGCACACCUUUUCAUUUGCCUGCUCAGCCAUUUGUAUAUCUUAUUUUGUGACGUGUCCAGAUCUUUUACCCAUAAAAAAUGGGUUGUCUCUUCAAGCUCUAAGAAUUCCUUGUAUGUUUAGGGUGCUAGUCCUUUGCCAGAUACAAGUAUUGAAAAAAUGUCCUCAGUCUCUGGCUUGGCUUUUAAUUUUGUCACCAGUGUCUUAAACAGACAGAUACUUAUAAUUUUGAUGAAGUUCAGUUUGUCAUUUUUUCUUUAUGGUUUAUGCUUUCUUUAAUGGUCAAGAGGUCAGGGGUCAUUGUUUUCCUUGGAUAUCUGGGCAUUCCAACACCAUUUUGAAAGGGCACCCUCUCCCCAUUGUGUUGCCUUAACUCCAUUGCUGACAGUAUGUGUGGGUGGACUUCUGGAUUCUCUAUUCAUUGAUCUUAUUGCUCAUAUCCUGCAGAUUUGAUUAUAUUAGCUUUAAAAUAAGUCUUGAGGUCAAGUAUAAGUAGUUUUCCAACUUGGUUUUUCUUUUUCAAAUCAUUUUGGCUCUUCAAGAUAUGAUGUUGCUGCUGCUGCAGUCCAUGGGGUCGUGAAGAAGUGGACCUGACUGAGUGACUUCACUUUCACUUUUCACUUUCAUACAUUGGAGAAGGAAAUGGCAACCCACUCCAGUAUUCUUGCCUGGAGAAUCCCAGGGACGGCAGAGCCUGGUGGGCUGCCAUCUAUGGGGUCGCGCAGAGUCGGACAUGACUGAAGCGACUUAGCAGCAGCAGCAGCAGCAGCAUGUACCACAUCUUAUUUCCUCAUCUGUCCAUUGGCAUUGGGCACUGGAGUUGUUUCUGCUUUGUAGCAAUUGUGAACAGUUUUUCUGUGAACAUUGGUGUGCAAAUAGCUGAGUCCCGGCCUCCAGUUCUUCUGUUUGUACACCCGGAAGUGGAGCACGCCUUUGGUUUCACACUGCAUGGUCGGCAGAGUGAUGUUUUACUCUGCACGCUAGUGCACUGCCCUGUGGCACAGAAGCUGGAGACAUGUCAGUCUUUCUGUUUGCAGAGCCAGACACCGUGCACCGGCUGUCCCCUCACGGGACCUGUAGAUGAGCAGUCAGGCUUACAGGGUCGGGCACUGUUUCCGGUCUGCUGGAGAGUCUCUGGCCUCAGGCCGCUCCAGACACCUCUCCCUGCGCAGUGGCAUGUCUCCCCCCGGCCCCCGUCCGCGGGGCUCCCACCAUUCUUCCCUCUCACAUCAGGCACCUGUAAACCGAUCAUUAGCUUUCCCGGGUUCGUGGGGACACGUGUGUGCUCCCAUGGCCAUCCAGAGCCUGUGCACCCCUUCUUCUCAGGCUGAGCAUCCAGUCAGAGAGCAGACCCAGGGUUCCAGUGCUGCCCUCUCCAAAGCCCACUUCCAGUAUUCUGGUUUGGACACUGCUGAAUUGACAGGCCUUCGUUUCCAGACCACACGGGAAUCAUGAGGCUGGCAUGGCUGUGGGCAGUGGGGCUUCGAGCCUGGAGCCUGGCCGCUGGGAAGGUGUGGUGCUCAGGCCUCUGGAAGCUGUCCUUUCUCCUCUUAGCUAAGAGAGGGCUGGGCUUUUCCCCCUCUGUUCUGUGUGGCUUGUGGGAUCUUAGUUCCCCAACCAGGGAUGGAAUCCAGGCCCUCAGCAGUGAGAGUGGCCAGGGCUGGCGUCUAUCCUUGGUUCUCAAAGACUCUUUUGACAUGCAGAUACCUCCAGUUGCCUAACUUCUUUCAUUUGGCCAUCUAGACUUCUCACACCUUGCUGUGAGUUGGUCUUUAGAUUUACUUAGACGGAAAGGCAAUGGAGGAGGGAGCUUUGGGGCUCCCCUGGUUUCUGGUGAGGGACCCUUCCAAUUUUCCAGCCCCACAACACUGCUGCUGAGCUUGCAGCCUCUUCCUCACAUGGUCCAAAUGGCCUCCAGUGCGUGCUCUGGCCCCGGGCCAAGGCAGCUGCCAGCAUCACGUGUACACAUGUGCCAGCAUCCUGGGUUCAUCGUCCCUCACAGGAUGGAGGCUGGGCAGCUGUAGCUAAGCCAAAGGAAAUGUCACAUUUGUAGGUCACAGCUUUGAAAGGGCUUCACUUUCCUGUGGUUCUACUGCUGAGGGGAGUCUGAGAAAGGACUCAGAUCUCAUGGGUGGGUCAGAAGGGCAGCUGAGGCCAGAAGGAGUGCAGGACUGUGCGCCCCCAGCAAGAAAGAGGGCUGGGGAGCUAGAGAGGAGACUCAUUACAAAGCCACAGUGGGUAAGAUAUUGUAGGGACCGGUGGGACAGAGUCAGAAGUCUUGAUGGGCUCACAUGUAUGUUGUCGUUCUGUCGUUUAGUCGUGUCCGACUCUUUGCGACCCUGUGAACUGCAGCACGCCAGGCUUCCCUGUCCUUUACUGUCUCCCAGAGUUUGCUCAAAUUCAUGUCCAUUGAAUCACAUAUGUGUAUAGGAAUUUAAUUUGUUACCAAAGCGGCACUGCAGAACAACAUGGAGAGAAGCAACUUUUAAAUAAUGGUGUUGGGACAAUUGGAUAUAAAUAUAGAACAAAAAGGGGCUUCCCUGAUGGCUCAGACAGUAAAGAAUCUGCCUGCAAUGCAGGAGACCUGGGUUCAGUCCCUGAGUCAGGAAGAUCCCCUGGAGCAGGGAAGGGCAAUCCACUCCAGUAUUCUUGCUGGAGAACCCCACAGACAGAGGAGCCUGGUGGCCUACAGCCCAUGGGGUUGCAAAGAGUCAGACACGACAGAUUGACUAACGCUUUAUCACUUUAUCAAUUUCAAAAAUGAAAUUGGAGCC
ensembl:lncRNA